GAUUGAACGCUGGCGGCAUGCUUUACACAUGCAAGUCCGAACGGCAGCGCGGGGGCAACCCUGGCGGCGAGUGGCGAACGGGUGAGUAAUGUAUCGGAACGUAUCCUGUAAUGGGGGAUAACCAGUCGAAAGAUUGGGUAAUACCGCAUACGCACGAGAGUGGAAAGUAGGGGAUCGCAAGACCUUACGUUAUAGGAGCGGCCGAUAUCUGAUUAGCUAGUUGGUGGGGUAAAGGCCUACCAAGGCGACGAUCAGUAGCUGGUCUGAGAGGACGACCAGCCACACUGGGACUGAGACACGGCCCAGACUCCUACGGGAGGCAGCAGUGGGGAAUUUUGGACAAUGGGCGAAAGCCUGAUCCAGCCAUGCCGCGUGCAGGAAGAAGGCCUUCGGGUUGUAAACUGCUUUAGUCUAGGAAAAAGGGGUGCGAGGUUAAUACCCUCGUGCUUUGAUGGUACUGGAAGAAUAAGCACCGGCUAACUACGUG
rnacentral:rRNA from 1 species